rnacentral:rRNA from 1 species
AGGAGGAGCUUGCUCCUCCGGAUUAGUGGCGAACGGGUGAGUAAUACGUGAGCAAUGUGCCCUUGACUCUGGGAUAAGCGCUGGAAACGGCGUCUAAUACCGGAUACGACCCUCGGAGGCAUCUCCUGUGGGUGGAAAGAACUUCGGUCAAGGAUCAGCUCACGGCCUAUCAGCUAGUUGGUGAGGUAACGGCUCACCAAGGCGACGACGGGUAGCCGGCCUGAGAGGGUGACCGGCCACACUGGGACUGAGACACGGCCCAGACUCCUACGGGAGGCAGCAGUGGGGAAUAUUGCACAAUGGGCGCAAGCCUGAUGCAGCAACGCCGCGUGAGGGACGACGGCCUUCGGGUUGUAAACCUCUUUUAGCAGGGAAGAAGCGAAAGUGACGGUACCUGCAGAAAAAGCACCGGCUAACUACGUGCCAGCAGCCGCGGUAAUACGUAGGGUGCAAGCGUUGUCCGGAAUUAUUGGGCGUAAAGAGCUCGUAGGCGGUUUGUCGCGUCUGCUGUGAAAACCCGAGGCUCAACCUCGGGCUUGCAGUGGGUACGGGCAGACUAGAGUGCGGUAGGGGAGAUUGGAAUUCCUGGUGUAGCGGUGGAAUGCGCAGAUAUCAGGAGGAACACCGAUGGCGAAGGCAGAUCUCUGGGCCGUAACUGACGCUGAGGAGCGAAAGCAUGGGGAGCAAACAGGCUUAGAUACCCUGGUAGUCCAUGCCGUAAACGUUG